rnacentral:misc_RNA from 1 species
AACGCAUAUUGCGCCCUCUGGCAUUCCGGGGGGCACACCUGUUCGAGCGCCAUUUCGACCCUCAAGCAUUGCUUGGUGUUGGGCAGGGUCCUCGAGGGACCCGCCCGCAACCCGUAGGCGGUCGUCGCCCGCGUCCCCAGCGUAGCAGGCUAACGCGUCGCUCGGGAACGACGAACGGCCCGCCCGGUGAAAACCGAACCCCCCCCAAAGGUUUGGCCUCGGAUCAGGUGGGGAUACCCGCUGAACUUAA